rnacentral:rRNA from 1 species
UACGAAGGGGGCUAGCGUUGUUCGGAAUUACUGGGCGUAAAGGGCGCGCAGGCGGCCCUCCAAGUCAGGCGUGAAAGCCCCGGGCUCAACCCGGGAACAGCGCUUGAGGCUGGGGGGCUUGAGUUCGGGAGAGGAGAGUGGAAUUCCCAGUGUAGAGGUGAAAUUCGUAGAUAUUGGGAAGAACACCGGUGGCGAAGGCGGCUCUCUGGACCGACACUGACGCUGAGGCGCGAAAGCGUGGGAG